GAUGAACGCUGGCGGCGUGCCUAAUACAUGCAAGUCGAGCGAACGGACGAGAAGCUUGCUUCUCUGAUGUUAGCGGCGGACGGGUGAGUAACACGUGGAUAACCUACCUAUAAGACUGGGAUAACUUCGGGAAACCGGAGCUAAUACCGGAUAAUAUUUUGAACCGCAUGGUUCAAAAGUGAAAGACGGUCUUGCUGUCACUUAUAGAUGGAUCCGCGCUGCAUUAGCUAGUUGGUAAGGUAACGGCUUACCAAGGCAACGAUGCAUAGCCGACCUGAGAGGGUGAUCGGCCACACUGGAACUGAGACACGGUCCAGACUCCUACGGGAGGCAGCAGUAGGGAAUCUUCCGCAAUGGGCGAAAGCCUGACGGAGCAACGCCGCGUGAGUGAUGAAGGUCUUCGGAUCGUAAAACUCUGUUAUUAGGGAAGAACAUAUGUGUAAGUAACUGUGCACAUCUUGACGGUACCUAAUCAGAAAGCCACGGCUAACUACGUGCCAGCAGCCGCGGUAAUACGUAGGUGGCAAGCGUUAUCCGGAAUUAUUGGGCGUAAAGCGCGCGUAGGCGGUUUUUUAAGUCUGAUGUGAAAGCCCACGGCUCAACCGUGGAGGGUCAUUGGAAACUGGAAAACUUGAGUGCAGAAGAGGAAAGUGGAAUUCCAUGUGUAGCGGUGAAAUGCGCAGAGAUAUGGAGGAACACCAGUGGCGAAGGCGACUUUCUGGUCUGUAACUGACGCUGAUGUGCGAAAGCGUGGGGAUCAAACAGGAUUAGAUACCCUGGUAGUCCACGCCGUAAACGAUGAGUGCUAAGUGUUAGGGGGUUUCCGCCCCUUAGUGCUGCAGCUAACGCAUUAAGCACUCCGCCUGGGGAGUACGACCGCAAGGUUGAAACUCAAAGGAAUUGACGGGGACCCGCACAAGCGGUGGAGCAUGUGGUUUAAUUCGAAGCAACGCGAAGAACCUUACCAAAUCUUGACAUCCUUUGACAACUCUAGAGAUAGAGCCUUCCCCUUCGGGGGACAAAGUGACAGGUGGUGCAUGGUUGUCGUCAGCUCGUGUCGUGAGAUGUUGGGUUAAGUCCCGCAACGAGCGCAACCCUUAAGCUUAGUUGCCAUCAUUAAGUUGGGCACUCUAAGUUGACUGCCGGUGACAAACCGGAGGAAGGUGGGGAUGACGUCAAAUCAUCAUGCCCCUUAUGAUUUGGGCUACACACGUGCUACAAUGGACAAUACAAAGGGCAGCGAAACCGCGAGGUCAAGCAGAUCCCAUAAAGUUGUUCUCAGUUCGGAUUGUAGUCUGCAACUCGACUACAUGAAGCUGGAAUCGCUAGUAAUCGUAGAUCAGCAUGCUACGGUGAAUACGUUCCCGGGUCU
rnacentral:rRNA from 1 species